AUCCUUUUUAGUUGAAAAAUCAUACCUAACAGACUUGGGCACACCCGAUUCUAAUGUAUCAACAUCUUUACUUCUAGGAGUCCAUAUUACUCCCUCCGAACGGAUGAUACUUGAGACCGAUGGUGAUAGCACAUAUGAUACUCGAGGUAUAUAUCAACCUCCUUGUAUAUGUUGAGCUACAUAUUUUGGUAUGCAUGUCAAACACCAUCACAGGAGAUGUUGCAGGCCCGAUGGAGGGGCCAAAUGGUGACGACUCUAUACAAGGAGUUAUACCUGGAGCCGACGAUGUUCACAAGAAUUACCCAAGUAGUCCAGGUACUAAGGCUGUGCAUAUAUACUGAGAUUGCUUUUAUGCUUUUAUGUGAUAAAUCAAACCUAACAGACUUGGGCAGAACCGAUUCUAAUAGAUCAAGCGUGUGACUUGUAGGAGUCCAUAUUACUCACUCGGACAGGACGAUACUUGAACAGGCCGAUUGUGAAAGGACAUAUGUUCAUCAACCUUCCCAUCUGAUUUCGGAUCAACCAUCCUCUGUGGACCUUGACGAAAAAAGAGAGUUGAUAAAAGCUCGGAGGCGAGCUGCUUAUAGAAAGAAAAAAGAGGAGGCUACCGUCAAGCAACAAGAGGAAAAUCUGUCUGCCCUUACGAUAUCAGAUAUGUUGAAUGUGGGUGGGUUACCUCUCGGUGAUAUCACUAAUGUGUGUCAACCAACCACGGUGGACCUUGACGAUAAAAAAGAGCAACUAAAGUCUCGGAGAAGAGCUGCUUAUCGAAAGAAAAAAGAGGAGGCAGCCAGCAAGCAAAAAGAUGAAAAUCUGACUGCCCUUUCGAUAUCAGGUAAGGAUGUUUAUGUUUCAGCAAUAUGAUGACCGUAUGUAUACUUUCUUAGUGAAUAAUGUAGGCGACAUAUGUUUCCUCACCCCAACCCCACGAAUAAUUGACCAAGAAUAGAGAAUAAAAAUAAUUGACCAAUAGUUGACCACUGUGUUAACAUACAAUUCCUGAUCAUUUAGCUAUACAUCAUUGUUUAACCUGACCGUGCAUAUAUAUAAAGUAAGCGUUUGUGUAGUACAUGAAAUAUUCUUGGACAAUGAAGACCCUAAACCCUACGUGCAGAUAUGCAAAAUAUUCCCCUGCUACCUCUCGGUGAUAUCACUAAUGGGUGUCAACCGUUCUCGGUGGACCUUGACGAGAAAAAAGAGCAAAUAAAGGCUCGGAGGAGAGCUGCUUAUCGAAAGAAAAAAGAGGAGGCAGCCAGCAAGCAACUAGAUGAAAAACAGCCUGAGGAAGAACACAAGGGUGACUUAACAGACGAGCAAACUGAGCAGAGAAACGCGCGGAGGCGAGCAAGUUAUCGGAGAAAAGUGGGGGACGGAACGAUCGAUCUUCAAGAAAAAAAUCAGAAGUUGCAAGAAUGGCGCGUGCAACACCCUAAAACCAUGACUGAGGAUGAAAGGGGGGAGUCAAGUGCAAAGAGAAAGGCAAAGUAUGCUGCAAAGAAAUACAUGCCAUGUGCUGAAUCGAUCGCAAUGCCACGUCCAGAUCUAAGUAGCACAUUGUCCAACCCUCACACACAUUGUCCGACUCUCACACUUUCAGCCCUCACGCAACAAUUCGACAGUGAACAAAUAGAUCAUGCUCCUACGGUCAAUGCGGCCCCCACAUACAUUCGCAACACCGAAACCGAUGGUACAUAUCCUAUCAACCAUCAUCUUUCAUCAUGUAAUAAUUCAUGAGAUAUAAAUAAUGAUGUAUAGUGUUGUAG